rnacentral:rRNA from 1 species
UGCCAGCAGCCGCGGUAAUACGGAGGGGGUUAGCGUUGUUCGGAAUUACUGGGCGUAAAGCGUAUGUAGGCGGAUCAAAAAGUUAGAUGUGAAAUCCCUGGGCUUAACCCAGGAACUGCAUUUAAAACUAGUGAUCUAGAAAUUGGUAGGGGUUAGUAGAAUUUCCAGUGUAGAGGUGAAAUUCGUAGAUAUUGGAAAGAAUACCAGUGGCGAAGGCGGCUGACUAGGCCAUUUUUGACGCUGAGAUACGAAAGCGUGGGUAGCAAACAGGAUUAGAUA